ACUGCUCAGUAACACGUGGCUAACCUACCCUCAGGACAGGGACAAACCCGGGAAACUGGGGCUAAUACCCGAUAGGCGAGGAUGCCUGGAAUGGUUUCUCGCCAAAAGGACCUUGGGAACAUGCUUCCAUUGUCGCCUGAGGAUGGGGCCGCGUCCGAUCAGGUUGUUGGUGAGGUAACGGCUCACCAAGCCUAUAACCGGUACGGGCCGUGAGAGCGGUAGCCCGGAGAUGGGUACUGAGACAAGGACCCAGGCCCUACGGGGCGCAGCAGUCGCGAAAACUCCGCAAUGCACGAAAGUGUGACGGGGCUACCCCGAGUGCUCUCCGCUGAGGAAAGCUUUUCCCUGGUGUAACUAGCCGGGGGAAUAAGGAGAGGGCAAGACUGGUGUCAGCCGCCGCGGUAAUACCAGCUCUCCGAGUGGUAGGGAUGUUUAUUGGGCUUAAAGCGUCCGUAGCCGGCUUAGCAAGUUUCCUGUUAAAUUCAGCGACCUAAUCGUUGAGCCGCGGGAAAUACUACUAGGCUAGGAGGCGGGAGAGGUCAACGGUACUUCCGGGGUAGGGGUGAAAUCCUAUAAUCCCGGGAGGACCACCAGUGGCGAAGGCUGUUGACUAGAACGCGCUCGACGGUGAGGGACGAAAGCUGGGGGAGCGAACCGGAUUAGAUACCCGGGUAGUCCCAGCUGUAAACGAUGCGAGCUAGGUGUUGGGAUGGCUACGUGCCAUUUCAGUGCCGCAGGGAAGCCAUUAAGCUCGCCGCCUGGGGAGUACGGCCGCAAGGCUGAAACUUAAAGGAAUUGGCGGGGGAG
rnacentral:rRNA from 1 species